rnacentral:ncRNA from 2 species
UUUCAUAGCUGCUUUUAUGGUGCCUGCGCGGGUAUUUCGGCCUGCGGGGCUUAAUAGGGAAGUUCGAUACAAAUUCGACGCGGUCCCGCCACUGUGAAGCCGAGCGGCUGCCCGAGGCAUCCACUGUCCCUGCCGGGAUGGGAAGGAAGGGCGGCGCGAUGAAGCGAAGCCAGGAGACCUGCCAUAAAAAGCUUGUAUCA